GUCGAGUUCCGCGUAAGGUGGUAAUUCUUCGAAUGGAUCGAAUGGAGAAAGAAGAUGUAUUGAAGACAUUCUCGACGUACAAAAGCCUCUUGGAUCAAUUCUUUAACGAUAAUCACAUACAAAGAACUGACCACUUUAUGGGCCUCUCUCGUGUAAUGAUGCUUUAUAUGUUCAGGCGAGACAUAACGGGAAAUAUGUUUCUAAAAUUGGAAAUACUUAUAGCACCAGAACUCAUCAUUCGUCGCCAAUUAUCCACGCUCUCCUGAAAUUGUGGACUGUACGUCUCUUUAUGGAUACAUUCAACUUUCGUACUGAGGAGGAGGCAGUGCAACAGAUCAAGGACCAAACGGCGUACAGCACAUACAUGAACGCCAUAAAUAACGUGCCUCUAGAACCAGAUGUACAAGAACUAGAAGAUAAGCUUUUCCAGUAGCUGUGGAGAUGGCUGAUCAAUUCAGUGAGAAGCUACUCGUCGUUAAGGUGAGGCAGCAACACUCCUCGUCAUGCGCAUGACUGGUACAUGCGUUCUAGUCCCGUUUAGAGUCUCGGGCAAUCACUUUUGAAUUAUUCGUGUGUGCCGCUCUAAUUUCACUUAUGUAUAAUAAUAAUAUCCACAUGCAAUAAUGCAAU